GAACUCUUCCAUGAGCAUCGACCAACUGCGCAUCGAUCACGUUAUCCGCCGAGAGACCAUAUUUUCGGAACAAUGAACCAUCGCCUCCACCGCUAAUGGACCCACCAAUUCCUACAGUGCGGAAAACAGGUGCUGGGAAGGAAAGGUUCGUGCUUCGUUCAUUGAUUAUGUAGUAUACUUCACCCACGGUUGCACCUAAUUGAACCCACGCCUCUUCGUUUUCGACAUCAACAUCGACUGAUCGCAAAUUAACCAAAUCGAUAACAACAAAUGGGACAUGGGAGACAUAGGAAAGACCUUCGAAGUCAUGACCACCACUUCGAGUUCUAAUUUCUAGGCCAUGCUUUUUGGAGCAAUGAAUCGUUGCUUGAACAUGGGAAAUGUUCAAUGGUGUUAUAAUAACCAAUGGUUUGGGGGUAUUAGGCGUAGAGAACCUCUGAUUCCUAAUGGAAGAAUCCAAAAGUGCUGAAUAUGAAGAGUUCGUUUCAGUGUAGAUAACUUGAGUAAUGGAAGAGGAUUCCUUGGGAUGAUAUGAAUAAAGGCAUUCAAAAAAAUCAUCGUGGCUAUUAGCUGAAGCACUCACCCAUAACAAUGAGCAAGCAACAAUGAAAAGCAAUGACAGAGAACGGUGAAGGGACUUCAUGUUUAUGGAAGUGAUGAAUUUGUGAAGAUUUCAGCAAGAUAUUCCCCUUAUUUAUAGAGGCAAUGCUUUGAGCCGCCGUGUGAACAAAAGUUCAAGAAACCCAGGUAUUUGAAGUCAAUUCAUAUAUAAUAAUGGCACAGGCUGCUCAAAACUUUCGUAUUUAUGUUUUCUUUUUAUAUUGAUAAUAAUAUAACAUUAACUAAAUUAGGACCCAAUCAAUUCUUUGCUUUUUUAAUUUAGAAACUACCACUUAAAAUAAUAUUUGAAUUUAAAUUUUAAAAUUAUUAUUCAUUGUGGAUUCGAAGCGGUCAACAAGAUAUUCCCCUUAUUUAUAGAGUCAAUGCUUUGAGCCGCCAUGUGAACCAAAGUUCAAGAAACCCAGGUAUUUGAAGUCAAUUCAUAUAUAAUGAUGGUACAUGCUGCUCAUUUCCUUGUCUAAUUAAAUUGGGUUUUUUAAUCACUCAAAAUUUUUCCAAAACAAUGGUAAAAAAAAUAAAUUUCUCUAUAACUGGUGUCGUAGCUUGUGAACCAAACACAAUAUCUCAUCCCUAUUCUUAAAUACUCAACACUUUCGUAUUUAUGUUUUUUUUUAUAUUGAUAAUAAUAUCAAUAUUAAUUAAAUUAGGACUGAAUCAAUUCCUUUUUUUUAUUUAGAAACUACCAUUUGAAAUAAUAUUUGAAUUUAAAUUUUAAAAUUAUUAUCCAUUGUGGAUUCGAAGCGAAUGCAGAUAGAUACCUUAAAUAAUAAAUAUUCAUUAUUCGAAUCCACAUUACUUAUGCUUAUAAUUUUGAUUUUAUAUAGAUAAAUAAUUUUAGGGUGUUCAAUUUUAAUUUUUUUAUGGAUUCAGAUAUUCAAAAAAUAUUGAAUUUUUUUAGAUUAUAAAUUUGAAUAUUAAUACUCAUAUAAUAUUAAAACAUAUUUACGAAAUCGAAAUUUAUUAAUUUUUUUUUUUGGUGAAAAGAAAAAAUCCUAAGAUUCUUUUACAAAAGCUAACAUUCUCUUAGUGAAUGUUUAAACUAUUCCUUGGAAAAUAAUAUGAAGUCUUACUCCUAGAUGAUUCACUACUACUAACUUUGUUGUACUGCUUUGCCCAGCUUGUUGAGGCUUUAAUAACUUCCAUAGAACUCUAUGAGAGUCCUUGGGAGACAAAAAGGUUUCUGUUUUUCCAUAAUUGCCAUAUUAGGAUUCCGAAAAGUGUGGGCCAAAGGACUUUGUUGCUUGUUAGUUGACCAUAAGUUCCUAAAUUUGUCUUAAUUGUAACACCCCAUACCCAGCCUAAGAGUUAGGCCCAAAUCUAGCAUGUCACAUUGAAGUAUUUUUCGAAAACCAUGUUUUCAUUAAAAACCCUUCUUGAAAUCAGUACACAGUAAUCAGUAACUGUAAUAUGAUCGACACAAAGCCAUCGGUAAUGGUAAUAUGAUCGACACAAAGCCAUCAAUAAUGGUAAUAUGAUUGGCACAAAGCCAUCAGUAGUAUCACAGUAAAGCUACCAGUAAUAGUAUAUGUGGCCAAGCCACCAGUAAUAGUGAUUGUGGCAGAGCCACCAAUAUAGUACUUCCUCCAUAACAGUAUUCCAACCCCAUGCAGUAUGUCGUGUAUGCAGAAUGCCAUACUCAAAAUCAGUCAUACCAAACACAGACAAAGCAAUCAUUUACAUCAAGGACAAAUCAAUCAUUUAUAUCACAGACAAUUCAAACAUUAACCUCGAGGGGUAAAAUAGUCAUUUUACUCUUUGAGGGUAUAUCAGUCAAUUCACCUAGUAGAGGCAUUACAGUCACUUUACCCUACAGAGGUAUUACAAUUAUUUACCGUAUGGGGGUAUAUCGAUCAAUUCACCUAACAGAAGUAUUACAGUCAUUUUACCCUAUAGAGCAUUAUGGUCAUUUUAUCCUACAGGGGUAUUACGAUCAUUUUACCCUAUAAGGGUAUUAUGGUCAUUUUACCCUAUGGGGGUAUAUCGAUCAAUUCACCUAACUAAAGUAUUAUGGUCAUUUCACUCUAUAAAGGCAUUACGGUCAUUUUACCCUACAGGGACAUUACGGUCAUUUUACAAACAUUAGGGUCUCGAUACUUAUUAUAAUCUUCUAAAAGGUCUAUCAUCACUUCGAGCAACUCAGAUAACCUACACGGCUAGAAUAGUGUAAUUUGGCCCAAAACCCGCUAUUAGGCCUAAAUAGGCCCACACGCUCGUGUGGCCCAUUUAGUCUAGAUUCACAUACGAUAUCGCGAGCCUUAUAAACCAACCUAUCAAUGAUCCCUUACCAUGGAUUUUAGCCCAUUGGGCCUACGCGACCCAUUUCGACUCAUCGAGGCCCAUAACGGCCCCAGCUAUGCAAACGUCACAGUCUAAACAAUACUUACCACAUCACAUACAUUUUAUCUGUGUGACCCACUGGGUCCACAUAGCCCAUUUCGGCCAAAUAAGGCCUAGAACAGCCCAAAACCACACGAGCACUCGUGGUGGCCUCUACAAACUAACGCUCCUAUUUGCGGGCUUGGUUCACCACACGCAUGAUCGAACAUUCGUGUGGCAUCAUACAUCAUAUUUCUAGCUUUUUGGCAUUUGUCGAAUUACAGAAGAGACAGUGUGAUUACACACACUUUCAGCUUUAUGACAGUAAUGAUUUAUAGUGUACAAUUACACAUACCUGAAUACGAACUCUUGCGAACAGCCUACGAGCACUAUUAAAACAAAGUAUUUAUCAAUCGCUUGACAAUAGGAUCUCAACCUUCCUUGAUUGUUAUCUGCAUAUAAAUCGAAUUUAGUAAUCAAUAUUGUUUAUGCAUAUGGGUUGAAUCUAUGGUUAUUAGCCUAAAGAAAACACAAACCCCAAAUAAGAGAAAAGCAUAUUCGGCCAAUACCAAACCACAACAACAUAUUCCAGUUCAGAUUAUUCACUACGAGUAGUAUUACCUUUGAUCAAGAAUGAAAGAGAAGGGUCCAAUCUUUUCUAUAGUGCUAGGAAAUUCUUUCACUCUUCACGAAUUCCUUAAAUCCGAAAGAACACCAUAAAAAAGUAAAAAAAAAGAUAAGAAUCGAAAUCUAAGGAAAUAGAAGAGAAAACCUGAAAGAGUAGAGAUAUAAGGACCUACCAAUCGAUAUUCUGCCAAUGGAAACUAUUUGAGUGACAGGGAAGAGAAGUUAGAAUCCAGAGGAAUAUGAGAUAGUUCAAGAGGAAUAUGAGAUGGUCAUCCACCACGACUUAAGAGAGAGGGAGAAUAGAAGAGAAUCGACAAUCAAGGACAAGGAAGAGGGUUGAUGGAAUAAACAAUAUUUGACUAAUAAAGGAGGAAACGUUCGGCUACCCAAAACCUAAAAUAAGUAAAGGCAAAGUACCAAUGAGGGAAAAAAAGGAAAUUGAUCCAGCAAAGAACAAUUUUGAAGAACAGAAACCCAAUUACCCGAAUGGACACUAAUGGUACUCGGCUACCAAAACACACAAUACACGAAAGGGAGAAAAAUAGGACAAAAAGAGGUAAAUAUUUUUGAAAUGGAGAGAAAAAAAUGCACAACCUAUUUCAACACAAGAAUAAAAGUUAUAUGACUGAAUUUGUACUAUCGAAAACCCACUUUCGGCCAACUACUACAACACCCCUAAUUCCACUCCCUAAAUCUCUUAACACCCCUAAUUUGAAACACUUUCAAACUCCUCUAAAUCCUUAUCCCAUGAAUCACUCCCCCAAGACCAAUUCCACAACCACCUGAGCAGAAUCCCACUACAACAUAGCCACUAGGCAUCACAACUGCAAAAUAAAACCUCCCUUACUCAUCCCAAGACUUCAACCUUAGACCUCAUGCUGGCUGUAAUACCACCUUGCCACUAGACCACCCACUCUUUUUGUGUAACCUUUUACCACAUUUCAUUCUUAAAGCCUAUUUACUUACUCCCAGGGUUUUAUUCACCUAAAACCAAAAUUUUUGUUACAGCCUAGGUUUGAACUCAAGACUUCUCUAAUACUUCUCAGGACCCUUAACCACUAAAGCAGACAUACUUUUGUAUUAUUCACUUGCACAGCUAAAAUAUCUAAGAGUAAUAUCCUAUCCACUUCCAAGCUCAAUGCCCAAUACUUCUAGGCCCAAAAUUUGAGGCGUUACAUUAAUCCACUCAAGCAGACUGCCAGAGAAAAAUUGGGACCAUAUUAUUUCUAGCACGAUUAAUUUUCAAAUGUCCUUAGCAAUUGGGCAAUCCCUAAUAUCUUAAUUAAGUUGAUAUUGGUAUCAGGAUUGUUGAAGCAAAAUAAAAUGAUAUUCGUAUACAAUAUUCUAAAUAGCAUGUAUUGGAAAAGAUUAUGAGCGUUACUCUAAUUUUAUGGGAAUGUAUUGGAUGCUUUUAUUCCAGUUAAGAGAAGCAUGGAGGGUAAGAGGUUUGGUUUUGUAAGGUUUGCUAAUCUAGAGAAUGUUCAAAGGGCAAUUUUAAGGCUAGAUGGUUUUGUGAUUUUAGGAAAAAGGGUUUGGGUGAAAAUGGCCAAAUUUAGUGGCAAAAGGAAGGCAUGGAAAAAAGUCUAAGCAAAGAAAGUUUUAAGCCAAAAAGAGGUGUUGUAGUCGAGAGGGAUAGGGUAUCAGGAAGAGAAAUGGGAUAAAUUAAAUGGUAAUACGUAGAAGGCCAACGUCUGUUGAAAUAGAAAUAACAGGGAUGAAUAAAUUAAAUGUUGUUGAGGGCCAUGUCGAGAAAGAACAACUAUAAAAACUUCAGCGUUGCUUGGUUGAGGAGACUACGUCUUUUUGUAAUACAUAUAGCUUGUUAGAAAGAAUAGUUAGUUUAGGCCUUAGAGAAUUAAAUGUUCAGAGAAUUCAGGGUAGAUACUUUCUAAUAGAAGUUCCUAACGAUGAGCUUAUGGAGAUUUUAAAGAAAAGAGACUUGCAUAUCUGAAAGAAUUUUUCAUCAAUAUAGAACCAUGGUUGGAAAAAAUUAAAGUUUUAGAAAGGCUAGCUUAAAUUGAAGUUGCUGGGAUUGCUCUUCAUUGAUGGAAUUACCAAACGUUUAGGAGAGUAGUUGAUUUAUGGGGUAAGAUAAUUGCUAUGGGUGAAAGGCUAACAAUGGUGAAUAGCUUUGAGAAGAUAUAUAUUUUGAUUUUUAUAAAGCAAGCUCACAAACUCGAAGAAAUGAUAAUGUUGGAGGUAGGCAAUGAGACAUUUCCAAUCUGUAUAAAAGAAAGAGGUAUGGUGGAAAAAAAUAAAUAGAAUUCAAAAAAGAAAUGGGAUCAAAUGAUGAGAGAAUAAGAUGCAUCAUCGGAAGUGGAGUUGGCAAAUAAAUCAGAACUGAAACUGUCACCGGAGAGAAGAUAAAACGAUGGGGUUGAAUGAGUUAUUGAGACAGGCCUCAAGAAUGAAAGAAAUAAUAAUAGGGUAUAAGAUAUGUCGGCUGAGGCAUUUGAUGUGAAAGAUAGCUCUUUUUAUAAUGUGAUGAGUGUUCCUAUAGCAAGGGAGGUAAUUGUUGACAUAUCUGAUCGAGGCCUGGAAGAUUUAAACAAUAUGGGCUUGGCAUUGGCAAUAGGUUUGGAUCAAAAUAAUGAGGUGAAAACUCAAAUAUCGAUUGGUAAUGAUUUGGGCUUAAAUGAGAAAGUUACGCAGUGUCCAGAUAAUGUAGAGAGCUUAAAGUUAAAUCAAAUUUCAUCACAUUUAUUAGAUUCAGAGAGACCAAGAGAUCGGGUUACAGCGUAUGAAGUAGAAGAGGAAAGUCAUCAAAUAAGACAGAAUAAAAGAAACAAGAAAGUGCUGAACAAGAAGAUUAGAUCUAUGUUAAAGAUUUAGGACAUAGUGCUCACAAUGAAGGAAAAGUAGAAAAAGGACAGGGAAGCAAGAAAAUCGAAAGGAAAGAAGGAGUCAAGGAUUGACGAAAGCAUAGAAAAUUUAUCCUUAUUUGACUCAAACAUCAGCAACUGAAGGAAAGUUAUCCUAAAAGAAGCGAAAAAGUGAUGAAGUUGGUUCAGCAUGCAGCAAACACUCAACAACAUGCAGGCCAUGAAGACCAAGCUGUGCAGGAACUGCUGCAACAACCUGUUUUUACUCAUUUUGUAAUUUUUAGUUAAUGAAAUGUAUGUUAGUUCAUUUCUAACUAAGUUAGUCCUAUGAUUGAUGUAAUUAGCUAGAGUGUGAGCUGUAAACACAUCUUUGUUCAAGCUUACAAGUUUAAAUUUCAAGUUUCCAUGUAAUUAGUGGAUGUAGGUAAUGUUUAGGUAAUUACUUGCUGAUUUUAACAAGCUUUGUGCUUGAUUUAUGUACUGGCAUUAUGCCAUUGUCUUCAAUAUGAAUGAAAUUAGUUUGUUCAUCAAAAUACUCUCCAAUUUCCUUAGCUUAUUUUUUUCUUUAGCUCGAAAUUGUUUGUUUGCUCAGCAAGUCUCGAGGCUUGCUCGACAAGAAACUUGCUGAGUCUGCUUGGUUCUAUUGUUGCACCAACACCAGCUCUAUCUUCUUUUGUAACUCCACAUACAUUAAACUUUAACCAUCCAUAAGGAGGGGGCCGCCAAAAAGAUGAGCAGAAUUAGAUAUAAUAGUAUCAAUCCUACACUUGUUUAGACAAAUCCACCAAAAAUUAUCCUUCAUUGUGAGCACUUGUUUAGACAAAUCCACCAAAAACUUAGAGGCAAUCCAACAGUGGCUCAGAUCAGGCAGCAUGUUGAUGAGAGGACCAAGAGGCACAAAGCCAUGUCUUGCAUCCAGAACUCAGUGUCAGAUGUGAUUUUCACAAGGAUUAUGGCCUGUGAAUCACCAAAACAGGCCUGGGACAAGUUGCAAGAAGAGUUUCAAGGGACAGAGAGGACAAGGCAGCAACAGUUGCUGAACUUGAGAAGAGAUUUUGAGAAUUUGAAGAUGAAGGAAGAAGAAACUGUCAAGCAAUAUUCUGACAGGAUUAUGGCUGUGGUUAACAGCAUCNNNNNNNNNNNNNNNNNNNNNNNNNNNNNNNNNNNNNNNNNNNNNNNNNNNNNNNNNNNNNNNNNNNNNNNNNNNNNNNNNNNNNNNNNNNNNNNNNNNNCAAAAAUCUCAUCUCUCGAGGACUCAAGGGAUCUGUCCACCAUUUCUCUGACUGAGUUGAUCAAUGCUCUAUAUGCUCAAGAGCGGAGGAGAGCAAGCAGACUGGAAGAGCAUCAAGAAGGUGCCUUUCAGGCAAGGACAAAUACUGCCUACAAAGGCAAGAAAGCCUGGAGAGACAAGCCAAAGAAUGAUGCUGCAAGGAGAGAAGGUCAGACUUGCAAGCACUGCAGAAGGGCUGGUCAUCCAGAAGAAAAAUGCUGGUUCAAUCCAGAUGCUGAAUGUCAGCAUUGUAAGAAGAAAGGUCAUGUUGAGAGAGUCUGCAAGAGCAAGGCCAAAUCAAGGCAGAAUCAGUUUCAACAAUUGAAAGCUGAGGCUCAAGUAGCUAAAGAGGACUGUGACCAAGAGGAGCAAGUCUUUGCUGUGUCAUGCUCAGCUGCUCAAGAAAAGCUCUCAUCUGGUUGGCUUCUAGACAGUGGAUGCACCAACCACAUGACACCUGAUGCUGCUAUCUUCAAGUCCUUAGACAGAAGCUGCUGAACCAAAGUUAAGAUAGGUAAUGGUCAUCUUAUCCAAGCUGAAGGCAAGGGUGAUGUGCUAAUAUGCACUCCCUCAGGUGCCAAAGUAAUCUCAAAUGUGCUCUUGGUGCCUGAAAUUGACAGAAACCUGCUCAGCAUAGCUCAGUUGCUAGAGAAAGGUUAUUCUGUUGUGUUCAAAGACCACCAGUGCCAAAUCAGUGAUCCAAGUGGAUCCAAACUGAUGGCAGUCCCUAUGGUUGAUAAGAGCUUUGUGGUUGACUGGAAAAAGAAGUCUGACAUUGCCUACAUAGCCACAUCAGAUGAAUCCAAGUUGUGGCAUCAAAGGCUGGGACAUGCCAACUUCAGAUCGAUGGCCCGAAUGGUCAGAGAUGACCUGGCUAAAAACUUCAUCAACUCAGUGGACCAUGAUGAUGUGUAUGAGGUGUGUCAACUAGGAAAGUAGGCCAGACUGCCAUUUCCCUCGAAUCAAGCCUGGAGAGCUUCUGAAAAACUCUAACUGGUGCACACUGAUGUGUGUGGCCCUAUGAAGAUUGAGUCAUUAAGUGGAAACAGGUAUUUCAUUCUGUUCAUUGAUGAUUUCUCGAGAUAUUGCUGGAUUUACUUCUUAAAACAGAAAUCAGAGGUGGCCUCAGUGUUUUGGAAGUUUAAAACUGCUUCUGAGACUGAAACAGGCUGCAAGCUGAAGACCAUAAGGUCUGAUAAUGGGACUGAGUACACCUCAGCUCAGUUCCAAGCCUUCUGUGAUAAGCCAGGCAUCAAACAUCAGCUUACCAACACUUAUACACCUCAACAGAAUGGUGUAAGUGAAAGGAAGAAUAGGAGCUUGAUGGAUAUGGCCAGGUGCUUGAUGAUUCAGAAGAAUCUGCCUAAAGCACUAUGGGCAGAAGCAGUUAACACUGCAACAUACAUUCAAAAUAGACUUCCAACCAAGGCUUUGGAUCAGAAGACUCCAUUCGAGGCCUGGUUUGGCUUCAAGCCAUCACUGGCUCAUCUGAAGGUCUUUGGAUGCAUCUGUUAUGCACAUGUACCUGCUGUUAAAAGGGNNNNNNNNNNNNNNNNNNNNNNNNNNNNNNNNNNNNNNNNNNNNNNNNNNNNNNNNNNNNNNNNNNNNNNNNNNNNNNNNNNNNNNNNNNNNNNNNNNNNUAAGAAGGGCUAUAGAAUUUUGGAUCCUUCAACAAACAAAGUGUCAGUAAGCAGGGAUGUGGUAUUCAAUGAAAGGUCAUGUUGGAACUGGGAAAGGCAUGAACCUGAGGAAGUUUCUGAUGAACUUGCAGCAGACCAAGCUGAGCUAGAACAAAAUGCUCCUAAAAUGGACAUUGAUGAUGAACCAGUCAGAGGAACAAGAUCAUUGACUGAGAUUUAUGAAAGGGCUCAUGUAGCCAUAGCUGAACCAAGCAACUUUGAAGAGGCUGAAGCUCAGCAAGGAAGGAAGCAGGCAAUGGCUGAGGAGAUCAGCAUGAUUGAGAAGAACCAGACAUGGAAAUUGGUUGAAAGGCCAGUCAAAAGGAAGGUGAUUGGGGUGAAAUGGGUGUACAAAGCCAAGCAAAAUGCUGAUGGAACCUUGAACAACUGAAGGCAAGGUUGGUUGUCAAGGGGUUCAGUCAGAGGUAUGGCCUGGACUACCUGGAGACCUUUGCACCAGUGGCCAGGCUCGACACCAUCAGACUGCUGAUUGCCUUAGCAGCACAGCUCGAAUGGAAAAUCCAUCAACUUGAUGUGAAAUCAGCCUUUCUAAAUGGUUUCUUAGAUGAAGACAUCUAUGUUGAACAACCACAAGGGUUUGAAAUAGCUGGCAGAGAGCAUAUGGUCUACAAAUUGAAGAAGGCCCUAUAUGGCUUAAAACAGGCUCCAAGGGCCUGGUACAGCAGAAUUGAUGGCUACUUGACUGAUCUAGGAUUCGAUCGAAGCAAGAGUGAGCCAACACUGCAUGUCAAGAAGCAAGGGACACAAACACAACUCAUUGUGUCCCUAUAUGUUGAUGACCUGCUGGUGACAGGAGGAGAUUGAGCAGUGCUGGUUGAUUUCAAGACCAAGAUGCAGGAAGUGUUUGAAAUGUCUGAUCUUGGGGAGAUGUCCUCUUUUCUUGGAAUGGAGGUGACUUAAGCACAAAAUGGGAUAUUUCUAAGUCAGAGGAGCUUUGCCACAAAGAUUCUGACCAAGUUCUCCAUGCAAAACAGCAAGGCAACUAAAACACCUGUUGCUGUUGGAGAAAAAUUAUCGAGCCAAGGUGAUUUUGAGAAGGUAUGUGAAACUACCUAUAGGAGUCUAGUUGGUUGUUUGCUAUACUUGACUGCCACUAGACCAGACAUAAUGCAUGCUGUAAGAUUGCUCUCAAGGUUCUUGCAUUUUUGCAAUGAGAAGCAUAUACAAGCUGCUAAGAGAGUGCUCAGAUAUGUCAAAGGGACUUUGGACUAUGGUCUAAGGUACAGCAAGGAAGGAAAUCUGAAGCUGGUUGGCUACACUGAUGUGACUGGGCUGGCUCGAUAGAUGACAUGAAAAGCACCUCAGGGUAUGCUUUCAACCUUGGUUCAGCCAUGUUCUGUUGGAGCUCGAAGAAGCAAAGCCUGGUGGCUCAAUCUACUGCGGAAGCAGAGUAUGUAGCAGCAGCAAGUACUGUCAACCAAGCCAUUUGGCUGAGGAAAAUUUUGGCUGAUUUGAAUGUGCAUCAAAUGGAAGCAACAGAGAUCUUCUGUGAUAACCAAUCUGCUGUUGCAAUUGCUAAAAAUCCAGUGUUCCAUGGAAGAACAAAGCAUUUCAGCAUAAAGUUGCAUGUUGUUCGAGAAAUGGAGCAAGCUCAGGAAGUGAAGCUGAUCCACUGUAAUUCAGAGGAUCAACUUGCAUACAUUUUGACUAAAGCUCUCAAUGUCACAAGGUUCGAAUGUCUAAGAAGGAAGCUAGGUGUUUGCACCAUGCAAACCAAGGAGGAGUGAUGAAGUUGGUUCAGCAUGCAGCAAACACUCAACAACAUGCAGGCCAUGAAGACCAAGCUGUGCAGGAACUGCUGCAACAACCUGUUUUUACUCAUUUUGUAAUUUUUAGUUAAUGAAAUGUAUGUUAGUUCAUUUCUAACUAAGUUAGUCCUAUGAUUGAUGUAAUUAGCUAGAGUGUGAGCUGUAAACACAUCUUUGUUCAAGCUUACAAGUUUAAAUUUCAAGUUUCCAUGUAAUUAGUGGAGGUAGGUAAUGUUUAGGUAAUUACUUGCUGAUUUUAACAAGCUUUGUGCUUGAUUUAUGUACUGGCAUUAUGCCAUUGUCUUGAAUAUGAAUGAAAUCAGUUUGUUCAUCAAAAUACUCUCCAAUUUCCUUAGCUUAUUUUCUUUUUUCUUUAGCUCGAAAUUGUUUGUUUGCUCAGCAAGACUCGAGGCUUGCUAGACAAGAAACUUGCUGAGUCUGCUUGGUUCUAUUGUUGCACCAACACCAGCUCUAUCUUCUUUUGUAACUCCACAUACAUUAAACUUUAACCAUCCAUAAGGAGGGGGCCGCCAAAAAGAUGAGCAGAAUUAGAUAUAAUAGUAUCAAUCCUACACUUGUUUAGACAAAUCCACCAAAAAUUAUCCUACAACAUAACUUCAUCAUAAAUAAAUCUAAUCCACAACAGAGCCCUCAUAUUUGAUUGAAAAAUUAAAAUUUCCAUAGACACCCUCCAACUUUCAAAAACCAACCCAUUUCUUGCUAGCCAAAUAGUCCAACAGGCCGCUGAAAUUAAUAUCAAUCAAAAACUUUUCCUAAUUCCGACCAUUUUCACUUUAUUGCAUAAUGCGAAGAAGUACUCAAAACCAUCAACCUGAUUCCAAACCACUUCCCACCAAUCAAAAAUUUUAAUCCAAAAACCUUCAAUAUAUUUGCAUUUGAAGAACAAGUGGGAUGUUUUCUCCAACUCGCUUUCGCACCAUGGACAGCUUACUGAUAUAUCAUGCAAAUUCACCCCUAUUUUGACCAAAAAUUCCUUAGAAGGAAUUCUAUCGAUAGCUAGCAUCCAAAGGAAACUACGCACUGUAGGUGGGACAUUAAGUUUCCAGAAUUUAUCACAAGAAAAAUUUAUAUCCACCCCUUCAUCCGAAAUCAAUAGUUCUGAACAUUUUUUAACCAAAAACUCCUCAUUUUUAUCAUUAGCCCAACACAACUUAUCCUCCAUAUCUGAAAUCAACACCAUGCCACUCACCCUCUCUACCAAUUCUCUGCGCAUCACCUCUUCUCUACCCAACAAUGAUCUUGUAAAGAAUUCAUUCCAGUCAUAUCUACACAACCCUGCAAAUCUAAAAAAAUCAGCUACCGAACUUUCCUUAUAUCUAGUAAGACGAAAAAGUCUUAGAAAGCCCUGUUUUAAUGGCAUAUUACCACACCAAAUGUCAAUCCCAAACAAUACCGUCCUACCAUUCCCAAUCCGCCAAUAGAAAGAUUCUACCCUUACCCAUUUAGGCAUUAUAACAUCUUUAACGUUUCAAUAAUGCCUCUCCACACAGAUGACAUAUCUUUUGGACUAGUCGUUUUAAAGUGCCACCUUUGCAAUUUCGACCCAUAUUUUGCCAAUAUAACAUUUCGCCACAAUGCUUCUUUUUCAAACGCAAAUCUCCAGCUCCAUUUAGCCAAUAAAGCUUUAUUUUUUACACCUAAAUUCACCACUCCCGUCCUACCCUUCACCUUUGGCUUACAUACUAUAUUCUAAUCAACCUUGGCCAUUUUAUUUUUCCCUUCCGUAUUCCUCUAAAGGAAAUUCCUCCUAAUCUUGUCAAUCUUUUUUAUAAUAGUCACUGGAGUAUUGAAUAAAGACAUGAAGAAUAUCGACAAAAAAGACAAAACAACAUUGAUAAGCACAACUUUUCUCAUCUAACUAGGUAACUUCUUUCUAACUCUGUCAACAAUCGGUUCCCAUGUGGAAAUUCUCUUCAGGUUCACUCCUAAUAGAAUUCUCAAAUAAUUUAUAGGCAAAAAACCAAUUUUACAUUUAAGCUACCAUCCGGAAUAAUGUUUCUUCUUUCACAUUAAAACCCACUAAGCAAGAUUUUUUAAAAUUAAUAUUAGGGCCCGAAAAGAUCUCAAAACACCUUAAAAUGUACUUCGCAUUGCUCACCUCAUUAUCAAUAGCUCUCAAGAAUAAAAUUGUAUCAUUCGCAAAUUGUAGAUGAGAAAAAAUCAUAUUAGGAAUGACAUUCUGAAAGCCGUCAAUUGUUCCUAACUCUACAACUUUAUCUAAUGCUAAAUGAAGAACUCUGUCACUAAAAUAAAUAAGAAUAGGGAUAAUGGAUCUCCUUGACGAAGACCUCUGUGCAAUCUGAAUUCAUUUGUCGUUGAUCCAUUAAUAAUAAUUACUGCUCGUGCCGUAGAUAUGCAUUCCAUCAUCUAGCCUCUCCAUUUUACACCAAACCCCAUCUUGAAUAACACCAACUCAAGAAAAUCCCACUGGACACAGUCAUAAAGUUUAGAAAAAUCAAGUUUAAAAAUUAAAUAACCCCUACUUCCCUCUUUCUUGAUCGAAUGAAUUAAUCCAUUUGCUAUCAAAACCCCAUAAAGCACAUUGCGUGUCGCUCACCACCAUUUUGACUAUCUCCCUUAACCUUCGAGACAAUACCUUUGCCACAAUCUUGUACAAAAAAACUCACCAAACAAAUUGGCCUAAAAUCUGAAAUUUAAUUUGGAUUUUCCACCUUUGGAAUAAGUGUGAUAAAUGACGAGUUAAUUUUUUCUGAAGCUUCUUUUAUAUGAAAAAAUCAGACAUCAAUCCAAACAAAUCCAUCUUCACUGUUUCCCAACAAUUUCUAAAAAAACACAAGUUGAAGCCAUCUGGACUAAGCGCUUUUGAUUCAUCACGACUCUAAACCGCCUCUUUGAUCUCUUCCAACGAGAACGGUUCCUCCAAUUUCAAAGUCUUUUCCUUGUUUAACAUUCUGAAAUUCAGAUUUAAGUCCAUAUUCCAUCUUCUUGCAGGGCAAUCAAAAUAAUUAUUGAAAAAAUUGUACAACCCUUCUUUCAUCUCCUUAGGUUCCUUGUAGUACCGACCCUUAAUUUUUAAGCUAUACACUUAGCUCUGAUUUUUACAGCUCUAUGGAAAAAAGCACUGUUAGCAUCCCCUUCUUUUAACCAUGAAAUUCUUAAUUUUUGAUGCCAAAUAGAUUCUUUAAAUUUUAUUGCUUCCCAAACCUCAAUGUUUAACUUUUUUAACUCCUCCAUUUCUAGCUCAGUCAACUUUCUUUAUUCACUUACUUCAUCUAUCUCCUUAAUCCUAUAUUCGCUUUCAAUAAUUCUUUUCUUCCAAAAUAUUUCCAGCUUCAACAUUCUAUUUCUUAAGAGCUCCCUUCAAUGUACGCAAUUUAACAGUCGUUUGCCCUCUUAAACUACCCAUUCCCAACCAUUCCAUUUCAAUUAAUCUCCUACAGUCUUCCUUUUUGAGCCAUGCAUUAACAACUUGAAAGGUCUUGGCCCAUAGUCAAAAGAUUCAUUUACUAACAAGACUAGAAUAUAAUCCGGUAUUGACCUGUGAAGUCAUUACUGUUGUAAAUCCUUCGAAAAAACCAGCCAAUCUUCCUUAAUUAAAAAUUUGUCGAGUCUACUAUGCUUACUAUCUGGACUAGUCCAAGUGAACUUUUUCCCCAAUAACUGCAGAUCAACCAACUUACAUAUAUCAAUAAACUCUCAAAACUCUUUUGAUCCCCUCUCAAUGCUCGAAUAAUUUAUUUGUUCACUUCUAUUUCUCACCACGUUGAAAUUCCCACCAAUUAUCCAAGCUUUACUAAAUAUAUUUCUCAAUUCGAAUAUCUCAUCCCAUAUGAUUUUUUGACCUAAAAGAUUGUUGGGAGCAUAUACGUUAAUUAGAACUACCUUCUUCCCUUCAUGCACCCAUUUACCUUCAACUACAAUGAACCUCUUCCCACAAAACACUACAUCGAUCAAAAACCAACCCUUAUCCCAUAUUGUUAAUAAUCUCCUGAUAUUUUAAUAGCAGCAGAUAAUUUAAAAUAAAAAUAGUUAUUACCUCCAAUCUUUCUAACUAAAUCUAUUGACAUACAUUAGCUAUAGUCAUUCUCACUAAUCUAUUGACUGCAUCAAUUUUAGCACCCUAACCCAGCUCUCUAAUGUUCCAUGUGACAAUCCACAUAUUUUUAACCGAAUUGAAUAGUUGAAAGGAAAACUGAAAGAAAAACUACUCACUAAAAUCUCGAAACCCUCAACCCUCUACCUUUGAAUGCUCCCUAUUACUUCUCUUCAACCCUCAUUAUUUCUUUGAUAACAAUCUCCUCGUCACCUUGCACACUAAAACCUAGCUUCUUCCCUACCUUCCAUGUCUUUUUGUUGGUGCAACAAUAGAACCAAGCAGACUCAGCAAGUUUCUUGUCGAGCAAGCCUCGAGACUUGCUGAGCAAACAAACAAUUUCGAGCUAAAGAAAAAAAUAAGCUAAGGAAAUUGGAGAGUAUUUUAAUGAACAAAACUGAUUUCAUUCAUAUUCAAGACAAUGGCAUAAUGCCAGUACAUAAAUCAAGCACAAAGCUUAUUAAAAUCAGCAAGUAAUUACCUAAACAUUACCUACCUCCACUAAUUACAUGGAAACUUGAAAUUUAAACUUGUAAGCUUGAACAAAGAUGUGUUUACAGCUCACACUCUAGCUAAUUACAUCAAUCAUAGGACUAACUUAGUUAGAAAUGAACUAACAUACAUUUCAUUAACUAAAAAUUACAAAAUGAGUAAAAACAGCUUGUUGCAGCAGUUCCUGCACAACUUGGUCUUCAUGGCCUGCAUGUUGUUGAGUGUUUGCUGCAUGUUGAACCAACUUCAUCACUCCUCCUUGGUUUGCAUGGUGCAAACACCUAGCUUCCUUCUUAGACAUUCGAACCUUGUGACAUUGAGAGCUUUAGUCAAAAUGUCUGCAAGUUGAUCCUGUUAAGGAGGCUCUGGAAGUAUUUUUAGCUAUGAAUUGGAAGAUUAAUGAUUCCUUAUUUAUUGAACUUGGUUUUUUGGUGGUGUUUUCUUGGUGUGUUAACAAGGUAAUGAAACUAUGUCUCUUUAAGCAAUUUUUGCUAGUAUUCAUAGAGACAUGUUAAAGGCUAGAAAUGUAUUUUCGGUGGCCGAUGAGAAAGGUAACGAAUUGGCAUCUUCCUUGGUAAUUACAAGUUUUUAAGAGGGAGAAUAUGUUUAAAGCUUGGUGGUGAGUUUUUUAUAUUGUUGUAAUCAUUGGUUUAGUUGCGACGGAAUACGUUUUUAAUCUUGUAUGUUGUAAUUCUGAACUUUGUUGUUGUUCUGUUUGUCUUUGACAAUAGUAUAGCUUGAAUGAAGCAAAAAAAAAAAAGGUAAUCCCUAAGGACAUGUAAAAUGUCUUAUGUCUCAUAAUAUCAUAUUGGGCAUGCUUCAGUUUGGUUGAUUCCUCCUUUAACUCGUUCAAGGUUAGUAAGCAUGUUUUGUUUGUAAACCAACCAUAAGAAAAAUUGAAUAUGUUGUGGUCCUUGGAAUUUCCAAACGUUCUUUCAUUUACUAUCUUACUCAUUCCAUGUGUUUCCUUUUAACAUUUGGUACGCACUUUUUACUAAGAAUUUCCCAUUAGAUGUGUGAGUCCAAAAAAUUUUGUCAGGACCGGCUAAGGGAUGUGGGGCAGGGAUGUUUGUAAUCUUCUGAAUUAUAUCUUCUGUCAGCCAGUUCCUAAAUGAAUAAAUGUCCCAAGAGCCCUCUUCUGUAACCAUGUCUUUAACUAAACAUUCUGAGACUAAUCCUUCCGUUGGUGAUGCAUGUGCUUUGAGCGGACUUAUUUUUGGGAUCUAUGGAUCUUCCCAACAUCUGACACUGUCUCCUAUUCCAAUGGACCAACAUAGGUUCUCUUUUAGCAAUGGAUAGACUUUCGCAAUUCCUCUCUAAACAGCUAAGCAGUUUUCGCGCAUGAUAUUUUUUGGGACCACCUCUGUCAUUCGAUAUUUUGAUCUUAAGACUUGUACCCACAAAAUGUCCUUUUUAGAAACAAAUUUGAAUCUUAAUUUCAAAAGAAAAGAGGUAUUUUAAUCUUUUACUAGGGCCAUUUUCUUAUUUCCUGCAUUGGAUCCCCAAAUAAAUUUUCUAGCCAAUUGUUCAAUUUCUUCGCACACUUUUUUUAGAAUUUGCAUGGAUUGCAUGAAGUAAUUUGGAAUGGAGAGGAGGAUAGAUUGAGCCAAGGUGAGCCUUCCUGCAAUUAAGAGUUGCUUGACAUCCCAACUACAUAGUUUAGCUCUAACUUUUUCAAUAACAAACUCCAAUGUAGCUUUAGCAAUUUGACUAUGUAAAAGUGGAAUUCCUAAGUAGGACCCCAGCCCUUGGACUUUCUAGAAACCGAGAAGUCGGCUUAUUCUAUUGCUCAUAGUAUCCUUUACUCCUCUUGAAAAGAAAAUAUUAGUUUUGCGUGUGUUAACCUGGUCUUGAUCUGGAUUGUCGUAUUGGGCUCCAUGCCCUUGUACUAACAGCUAUUUGGAAACUAUGACCUAGCCACUCCAUACAAAGCACAAAGAGGUAGGGUGAUAAGGGACAUCCGUACCUAAUUCCUCUUGCUAGUUGGAAUUUUUUAGUGGAGACCCCAUUCCACAAAAUCUACAUGGUAGAUGUCGAAAUGGCUGACAUAAUGCCUGCAACAUGAAGAGACCUAUCAAUAAAGUCCUAUUGGACCUUGUUGUAUGCUUUCUCCAGAUCAAUUUUGAUUGUCAUCCAUUUUUUGCUCUUUCCUCGUAUAGAGUGCAUAACUUCCUGAGCAAUGAUGAUGUUAUUAGAAAUUAUUGUCCUGUAAUGAACCCCGCCUAUUCCUGUAAGGUGAUUUUCGAAAAAGCUAUUUUGAGUUUGUUAGCAAUAACUUUCAUAAUUAGUUUAUAGAGAACUGAUCAAAGACUGAUGGAUCUAAAUUAGGAUAUCUCUUCAAGUUGAGCCAUUUUUGGGAUGAGCACAAUAAAUGUAUCAUUUAAAUCAGGCUCUAUGGGCUUUCCUCUGAAUACACCUUUAACCCAUUCACAAAAUGUACUUCCAAUACUGUAUUAUUUAAAUAGAUUAAAAUCAUAAUCAAACCAAGAAUAAAUUAUCAAUUCAAUAUUGGAAAAUAAAUAUGAUAUGAUAUGAUAUAAUAUAAUAUAAUAUAUAUUCAUUUAAUUUUAAGAAUAUAAAUCUUUCGUUUUAUCAUUUCUAUGUUGUUGAAAGAAGAACUAUAUAUUAUUAUAAAUAUCAAGAGAGAGAUGAGAAAUAUUAGAUCUUUCAACAAUUUGACAAUUUUUUGGUAAGUCUCGUGGAAGCCUUUAUAUUAGGAGUCGGAUUGUAUUUUGUUCUUUCUAUUAAAAAAAUGAGUAGAUUAGUUUUUAUAGUUAAACCAAAGAGUAAAUUGAUUCUUCUAUUAAAAAUCAUCCAUUUCUACCAUUAAAAGCUAGUUCUCGUACAUUAACAUGAGGUAAACAUUGCACACGGGCAAAACCAAAAAAAUUUUUUAGAAGGGGCCAAAAUUAAAUUGUAAUUUUUAUAAUAAUAAAAAUGCAAUUUUACCAUUUUAAUAGCCUAUAUCUUUAUAACUUUUAAAGGAUUGAAUCAAUUUUUUUAUCAUUUUUAAGGGGGUUAAAGUGUAAUUUUACCUUUGCUAAAUAGAAAAUUUUCCAUUUUAGGGGUUUAGGGCCCUACCGACCCCCUAGCUACACCCCUGACAUUGUCACUAUCUAAUUAUCUUGUCAAUGACGCUAAUUUUGAACAAUACAAAUGUAUAAUUUUUUUAGCACAAAGGAUUGGCGUGCUUAUUGAUUUAACAUACAAUGACUAAUUUGUUUGUUAUUUUAGAAAUAAAAAUAUAAUUUAACUCUUAAAAAAAAAAGACCUCCAUAAUACUUUUACCCAUUUUCUUAUUGCAUACGUAUAUGGAUGCUUGACUUACUAUAAUAUGGGAAGAUACUUGGAACAAGGUGCAAUUUGGGGAUUUCAAAGGGAAAAAAAGGUGACAAAAUUGAAAAUUUCAACCAUAAAUAAAGCAAUUAAUAGAUGUGGAAUGUCUCUAUUUUAAAAGUUGAAAGUUUUGGUUAAGAAGUUUGAGGAUCAAAUUCAUAGAGUUUGUAAAUGUGAAGGGUUAAAAUUAUUAAAUUAUUUAUAAUUAGGAUCCAAUUGAUAGAACACUUAAGUACUGAGGACUAAAUGUGUUAUUAUACCAAUUACAAAAAGAAUUAUCGUUAUCAAUUUAAUGAUGGAUGACCAGAAUAGGAGCAAAUCCAAAUAUUAAUGCCUAAAUUGAAUUUUUUUAAAGUUCAGUGACCAAAAUAGGAAUGCGGGCAUAGUUGAGUGAUCAUUUGUAUAAUUUACCCUAAAUUAAAUUAUGAUGUUUUCAAAUUUUAUGCAAUAAAUAUAUUAUCACAUGUAUAAUACAGCGUCAGCUUGCUAUUCCCACAUAAUACUUGUAAAAAAAAAAGUCAUGUCAUUUUAAUUAAUGAUUUAAUAGUUACUAUUUAAGUGUUAGGACUAAAAUUUUAAAUUCGAAAAAAUAUAAAAGAUAAAAUUGAUCAAAUUUUUACAACUUGCACAUGAUAUAAAAUUAAUAGCAAAAUUUGACCUAACAAAUUUAAUUAUUGUCAUUUAAAUAUUGAGAUUUCAAAAUUUUAAAAUAUAAAAAUUAAAAGAAAUUAGAAUAUAAAUUCUAAAUUCAAAGCUUAAUCAUAGUAGGAGAAUUUGACAUACUAUUAUUUUUUAAUCAUUUUCUCUCUCAACUUCUAAGAAGAUAACUCUUUGAUUUGAUCAUUUCCAUGCUGUUAUAAUUGAAAAUGCUAUAAAUUAAACAUUAAAAUUGUAUACAUAUGGAAUAUUAAAUCUUUGAAUAAUUCUUGCAUACGUGCUCUGAAUGUUGACUCAUCAUAACACUUGGAACAAGGUUGAAAUAAAAUUGCAUUUCUAAUAAACUCGGAUUUUUUUUUUUAUGGAUCUUGCAAGAAAGAGUAACAGCAGUAGACCACUAUAACAGUCUAUUCUAGACCAUAAACAUAGUAUUUCUAUUUAUGUUUAUCUUAAUCAAAGAAUUUGUCAAACUAUUAACUUCUCACAUUAGAGUAAUAUGAGGAUAACUCUCUCACCUUCUAAGAGGAUAACUCUUUGAAAAUGCUAUAAAUUAAACAUUAAAAUUGUAUACAUAUGGAAUAUUAAAUCUUUGAAUAAUUCUUGCAUACGUGCUCUGAAUGUUGAAGUAAAAUUAAAAAAUAGUUACGUGUUUUUUAUAAGUAACUAUAUAAAAUUAAAAAAUUAUGAUGUGUUUCUUUUAUAAAUAAUUAUAUGAAAUUAAAAAAAAUCCACAAUCAACAUGUAUUGUAGAUAAGCCAUAUAUAUAUAAUUGUCUACCUUUUAAGUUUCAUAUUACGUUGCCAAUAAGUUUAAUAGUGGCCCCUCUUGGCUUCAACCAUCCUUUGUAUUUGUGCCCAUCUAACACCCUUCUUGUCUUACACCAGUUACUGGAAUUGGAAAAUUACAGUUAGAGCAAAUCAAUAAAAAAUUGCAUUUCUAAUAAACUAGGAUUCUUUUAUGGAUCUUGCAAGAAAGAGUAAUUUCUAUUUAUGUUUAUUUUAAUCAAAGAAUUUGUCAAACUAUUAACUUCUCGCAAGAUAUGAGUAAUUUUAACAUAUAAUCAUCAAUGACUUUAAAAGUUUUUUCUACAUCUCUAGAGUAGAGGGAGUGACUUAGAACACCAUGAACUAAAUGACUCAACAAUUAAUUUAUGAAAAUAAGGGUAGCAAAAUUUAAUUCUAUUCAAAAAUUUGGAAAAAAAAAAUUGAAUUUCGAGAUAGUCAAAUCAAGCUAUUCAAGGUAUUUGGUGUAUAUAGCCUGUCAAUUUUUUUUGGAUAAAUUACAAGAAGAGGGGAAAACCCUAACAACAACACAACUUGAACCUAAGCCACACCUGAGAUGAUGAAUACCCUGACCAUCAAGCCAACACACGAGGUUCUAUAGCCUUAUCAAUUUUGAAAAUGAGCAAAUUGAUCUCUCUCUCAACAAAAACUACAAAAAAAAAUUCAAACUAAUUUUUAAAUUUUAAAAUAUUUAUAAAAAAUUUCAAAAUUUAUAUUUUAAAAAAUUAUAAAAAUUAAGAAUUCUAUAGAAUAUAUAAAAAAAGUUAAAAUAAUUUAAAAUAAUAAUUUUGAAACCUAAAUAAAUUAAUUAACAAUUCAAGUUUAUGUACUAAAGUAAUUUUUUUCUUAUUUUGUUUUGCAAGAGUUUUUAAAUAUAUAUAUAUAACUUCAAAUUUAUGUCCUCCAACAUGAAGUUAGUUAUACUAUAACAAGAUUUUAAUUUAACAUAUUUAACUCAAACAAUUUUACUUGAUUCUAUUCAAUUCGACUUGAAUUUCAUUUCACUCGACUCUAAAAAAUUUUAAAUCGAGUUAAGAUGAUAAAAUAGGACUCGUUAUCGUAAUUAACUCAAAAUUUUUUCAUUUAAUUCGAUUAAACAUUUACCCUUAAAUUAAAAAUUGAAUAACUUAGUCUUGAUAAAGAUCUCUAAUACAAAAUUAAUAGCAUUAAUUUUAGAUAAAUUAGCAUCACAACAACCAAGAGGUUUGGAGUUGAUGCAUUUUGAUGAAAGAGUCAUACGAUUUGACAUUUUAUACAUAGUGAAGGUGGAAUUAAGGUAGUUUGUGGGUGUAUCAUUUUCGUGUUAAUGGUGGUAUAUAUAGGCAUCGGUAUGUUUCAAUAUAUAAUUUUAGGUUUACCGAUGUUUUUAAAUAUUUUUUAUAUAUAUUUUUAGUUUAAUUUUUAGUUUGUUGAUAAAUUAUAUACAUUUAAAUAUUUUUUACAUAUAUCUAUAGUUUAAUUUUUAUUUUGUUUAUAAAUUAUUUGUUAUUUUAGUUAAAAAUAAAUUAUAGAUUACAUUAACAUACAAAUAUAUCUCAAUUAUAUUCAUAUUCAUAUAUUUAUAUUUAAAUUUAAAUUUUAAAAUUAUUAAUUAGGUUGAAUAUUUCCAUUUAACUUUUCAUUUUAAAUAUAAUUUUGAAAAAUUAAAAUGGCUAAUAAAAAAUUUUAAAAUUUGGUUUAAAAUGUCAAUAUUUUGUAUCAACUGAUUUGGGCCGAUACGUACUGAUUACAGACCAAAACAGAUUGAAAUACACUGAAAUAGCUGAAGCACACCAAAAUUUUAACAAUAACGAAACAUAACGUAAUUAUUACUGAUUUAGGACUGAAACGAUAUAUACCGAUUACCAUGUUGCAACUUGAUAUUCUUAUCUCAUAUAUAUUAUUGAAUUAUCAAGAAUUCCUCUAACUCUCAACCAUCUACCUUUAGUAAUGUUUUUUUUAUUUGUAAAAUAAAGAUGUUUAUUAGAUAAAACAUGGGAAUGAUAGAUAUUUUGAUCUACACACCACAUAAAGAUAGCAUACAUGAUUUAUAUAUUCUCACAUUAAUGCCAACAUUUAUUAAUAGUACUUAAUUAUAGGAAAACAUAAACGCAUGCAUCCAUGAAGGAAACAUGAUUCUAUUUUACUCACACACGCAAUGCAAUAAAAUUUUGUGUGUUCAUAGAUUACAUUGGCUCCGGCUUCUUUCUCCGCUCCAGCUUUGUUUCUUUGUUAGAGUAUAAGAAUAAGUCUGGUAUAUUGUUGGCAUAUAGUUAGCAACAGUUAGGUGAUCUCAUUCAAGUAUAUAAGUCCUAUAUGUGUAUUGAUGAAUUUUUUUCAAUACAAAAUGUUCAAUCAUUUUUUUAGUCAAUAUUCUCUGUAGUUACUAACAUGGUAUCAGUCGCCUGAAGUUCAUGGAGGUUCUUCUCGUUGUCGUUUCAUGGAUAAUUUGAGUGAUUCUAUCGCUGUUAAUCAUGGCAGUCUCUCCUUCUCCGGAUCUCGUCUGUUUCAAACAUUUCCUCGUCAUGAUACAGUAAAGUUAGACGAAGGAAAUUUCUUACAAUGGCAACAACAUAUUAGGUUAAUAGUUGAAGGCUAUGAAUUGUUAGGGUUUCUCGAAGGGACAUUACAUGUUCCGCCCCGCUUCAUCACUUCUCCAGAUGGAGUUCUGGCUUCGAAUCCAGAUUCGUCUUUGUUUGUACAGCAAGAUAAACUUCUUGCAUCUUGGUUAUUAUCAACAAUUAGUUCUGUCUUGUUGCAUUCUUUUACAGCUGCUUAAUCGGAAAAUGAGGUGUGGAGCACUGUGAAUCGACUAUUCGCCGCUGCCACUGGAGCAAAGGUGUCGCGCAUUAAGCACGAACUUAAUUACAUCAAGAAGGGUGUGAUAUCGGUGAAGGAAUAUGUGGCUAAAAUAUAAACUACCUACGCGUUGCUUGAGGCAUUGGGAUCUGUGGUACCGGAGGUAGAGAAAGUAGAAAUCAUAUUGGUCGGCCUCUCGUCGGACUAUGAUGUUGUCCUCACGUUGGCAUCAUUCUCGACUGAAUCACUUCCUCUCUAGAAGCUUCUUAAUGUACUCUUGGAGUUUGAGAAUCGGCAGGCUCGUGCGGUGACUGAAACGCCAUUUCAUGCCCAUCUAGUGAAGGCUGAUCCGGGGAAAUCGAGGACGGAUGGUGUGCGUGAUGGGCGGUCGUCUUCUAUGGCUUGUGGUCGUGGGUUUAGGACUCAUCUUCAGUGCCAAAUCUGUGGUAAAUAAGGCCAUUUGGCACAAAAAUGUUACUACAGGUUCGAUCGUGACUAUGGCGGCCCAUCUGCUCCGGCUUCGAAUCUACCUCCGGUGUUCUCUGGUCGUGCGGAUCGUGGAUAUCGCGAGAAUGGUUAUGGUGAGCAUGGCUGGUCUCCGUCGGGUCGUGGUGGUUCGGUUCCCUUUGGUGACUUUGGACCUUAUAUUGGUGCAUCGAUAGCGGCUCCGAUCGUGUAUCUGUGCGGUGCCUCGUGGGGGGAUUGCUGAAUGGUUUCUCCAUGUCUACUCCAUCUACUAGUGUUGCAAAACCUUUUCCCGCUUAUCCUAGUAAUGACGCAGGCCACAUAGUUGGGCCACAUGGUGUUGGACCAAGACCUCACUAUGGUAACAACGUUUAUCCCCUUUUGCCGCGCAGAUUGGGCUUUCCAUAUGGGCUCAAAGGCGAUGCUACAGGCCGUGGACUUGGGCCAUAUACUAGGCAGGCUGCGUUAUCAUUUGAAUGUCAUAAAGUAUGCAUUAUUGGUGAAACUGCAUUAGUGCCUCGAGACAUCAAGAACAAAAAUGACUAUUUCAUGCCUUUCUAGAUAAUUGUCUCAAGAUAUAUUGAACAUGUCUCAAGAUAUAAAUUGUCUGGUUUUAAAGCGUGAGGCCCAUUGUCUCAAGACAGGAAACAUCAAAGCUAAAGGUCCAAAAUAAGGGAGCUAACCUUAAGACAUGUCUCGAGACACAAGAGUCAUUGUCUCGAGACAACUAAUUUUGAAAGUAGAGGUUGAAAAUAGGAGAAACAUGUCUUGAGACAUGGCUUCAUUGUCUUGAAACACACUAUUGAAUUUUGAUAAAUCAAGUUUAGAUUCGCAUCCUGACUCUACACUUAACCCCUUACUACGUCAAGUCGUGUGGGCCCAAUCGAUCAUGAUUAAAUGAGAAACAUUAGCAUAGUAAGAAAAUAUGAAAUUAUGUCAUGUUUUCCACUUAAAGUCAGUGAAAAGAAUUGAGAUGGUUCACAUUCGUAAUGUGACACUUGUACUCAAAUUCAGUGAUCAAAUUCAAUGUGAAGUGUUACAUCUAUAGUUAAUAUGUCCAAGUCUGUGAUGCCACAAGUCUGAGUCACUAAUGAAAGAUUUGUUGCAUGUAGUUUGGCUAAUCAUUCUACGCUAGUUGUGAAUUGACCUUUCCCCUUUCAUUAAGGACCCCUUUUUUUAAUAUAUAACCUCGUAACCAUAUUUGAUGAAGUUGACAUGAUAUCCUUGAUCACAUAAUUUAUUAAUGGUAAUUAAAAUAGCCUUAAGUCUCUCCAUCAAGUGAACAAUUUUAACCUAGGGAUUCCUAAAUAUUGAGAAUGUCCAUCCCAAUUAUUUUGCUUUUCCCGCCAUCACCCAAUGUGACUUUUUUACAUUGUAACUUUGUAAGUACUUCAAAUAAUGUUUAUUACCUAUCAUGUGACGAGAACAAUCAUUUUCAAAGUAUCAAAUCUUCUUAGUGAUGGCAUUUAAGGAUGUAUGGACUAUUGAUGGGUGUUGAGUACAUAAAAAAUAAAUUAAAUUUGCAGUAUAAAAAAUAAGGUAGAUCUCAUAGAGAUUGAACUAAUCGAUUUUAUUAAAGCUGAUUGAUCAAAUCGUCUAAACUGAUGAUGAAACUGAUAAGACCGUAAAAAUUAACUUAAACUAAAACUGAAAAACAGAAUUAAUGUAUAGAGUACUUACUCUACAUAAACAACGGUGAUGAUGAAUUAUUAAGUACUAAGUUUAACUCGUAUAAUGAAGAAGAGGAGGAAUGCUUUGUUCAUGCUUAAAGAAAUUCUUUGGAUCAGUCUUCGUCUUGACAUAAACAAGCCUAUCAAAAUUAUUCUUGAAAUAUUUACGUCCCCAGUUGCUUGCUUGCUUAUAACUUGUCUUGCCAUAGUAAUUAUUGCUUCCGAUAUCGAGAUCUCUGUAAUUAACAUACGCUUCUCGUGGAGAUUUCGAAACAAAAGGACCCAUGUAGCUAUAAAGUUUCCUCAUCCAGCUUAUAUACCUUUGAGAAUUAUUGUUUUCCUCUUCUUGCCAAGCGAUAACGUAGCUUAUCUUGUAUAAGGUGCCUUUUCGAUGUGGAUAUGGAGUUUCUGUCUCUGAGAUUUCCUCCAUUAUUCCACCGUGAGCAAAAAAGUUUAGAACUGCUGUGCCUCCUUCGUCGACCUCUAGAAGGUGGAGCCAUAGCCCUUGUAAUGCUAUUUCAGGCAUUGGUUCCCUCACGUAAUCAGAUUUUGAUUUGGCAAAAGGAGGAAGGAUGGUAUACCUGUUGCUCCUAUCGAGCAAAAUCUCCGAUGUUUCAUUUGAAAGUCCGUUCAUUAACAAUAGAGAUUCAAUCCAAGUCAUCUCAAUAAAAUCUUCCUUAACGAGUCCAAGCUCCGGGAAUCGUUCCUGCAUCAAUGGAAAAAACUCAUCGGCACCACCUUGGAACAAUGAAAUAAAGGUGGCAAGAACCGUCUUAGUCCCAUUUUCACUGGCGUUCGUCGUUGAUAUCGUAACGACUGGGUAUACAUCAUUCGGAAGAUUGGGUGCAACGUAUUGCCAACGAUGAAGAAGCUGUGUUGCAUUUUGUUCCAAGGUCCUGCCCACUGAGAAAAAAGUCACAUUUGAAGGAACAUGAACCAGCUUUAUUUUCCAUGAAAUAACGAUCCCAAAGCUUCCCCCUCCGCCACCUCGAAUGGCCCAAAACAGAUCUUCACCCAUCGAUCUUCUAUCAAGAACUCUUCCAUUAGCAUCGACCAACUGCGCAUCGAUCACGUUAUCCGCCGAGAGACCAUAUUUUCGGAACAAUGAACCAUCGCCUCCACCGCUAAUGGACCCACCAAUUCCUACAGUGCGGAAAACAGCUGCUGGGAAGGAAAGGUUCGUGCUUCGUUCAUUGAUUCUGUAGUAUACUUCACCCACGCUUGCACCUGAUUGAACCCACGCCUCUUCGUUUUCGACAUCAACAUCGACUGAUCGCAAAUUAACCAAAUCGAUAACAACAAAUGGGACAGGGGAGACAAAGG
rnacentral:lncRNA from 1 species